rnacentral:rRNA from 1 species
GUGGGGAAUAUUGGGCAAUGGGGGAAACCCUGACCCAGCAACGCCGCGUGAAGGAAGAAGGUUUUCGGAUCGUAAACUUCUAUCCUUGGUGAAGAUAAUGACGGUAGCCAAGAAGGAAGCCCCGGCUAACUACGUGCCAGCAGCCGCGGUAAUACGUAGGGGGCAAGCGUUGUCCGGAAUGAUUGGGCGUAAAGGGCGCGUAGGCGGCCUGGUAAGUCUGGAGUGAAAGUCCUGCUUUUAACGUUGGAAUUGCUUUGGAUACUGUCGGGCUUGAGUGCAGGAGAGGUAAGCGGAAUUCCCGGUGUAGCGGUGAAAUGCGUAGAGAUCGGGAGGAACACCAGUGGCGAAGGCGGCUUACUGGGCUGUAACUGACGCUGAGGUGCGAAAGCCGGGGGAGCGAACGGGAUUAGAAACCCCGGUAGUCC